GAUGAACGCUAGCGGCAGGCUUAAUACAUGCAAGUCGAGGGGCAUCAAGGUACACGAAAGUGUAUUGUUGGCGACCGGCGGACGGGUGAGUAAUAGGUAGGUAACCUACCUCAUACUGAGGCAUAGCUGGGAGAAAUUCCAGGUAAUUCCUCAUGAGGUUAUAUGACACAUGUGAUAUAAUCAAAGGUAUCGCAAGGUACUGGUAUGAGAUGGGCUUACUGACCAUUAGCUAGUUGGUGAGAUAAGAGCUCACCAAGGCGAAGAUGGUUAGGGGUUUGAGAGAGAGAUCCCCCAAUUGGAACUGAGAUACGGUCCAGACUCCUACGGGAGGCAGCAGUAGGGAAUAUUGGGCAAUGGCGAAGCCUGACCCAGCCAUGCCGCGUGAAGGAAGACGGCCUUAUGGGUUGUAAACUUCUUUACUAUGCGACUAACUAGAUUUACGAGAUAAUUCUAUAGAAUGUAGCAUAGACAAAAAGCACCGGA
rnacentral:rRNA from 1 species